AGUGAACGCUGGCGGUAGGCCUAACACAUGCAAGUCGAACGGCAGCACAGUAAGAGCUUGCUCUUACGGGUGGCGAGUGGCGGACGGGUGAGGAAUACAUCGGAAUCUACUUUUUCGUGGGGGAUAACGUAGGGAAACUUACGCUAAUACCGCAUACGACCUACGGGUGAAAGCAGGGGAUCUUCGGACCUUGCGCGAUUGAAUGAGCCGAUGUCGGAUUAGCUAGUUGGCGGGGUAAAGGCCCACCAAGGCGACGAUCCGUAGCUGGUCUGAGAGGAUGAUCAGCCACACUGGAACUGAGACACGGUCCAGACUCCUACGGGAGGCAGCAGUGGGGAAUAUUGGACAAUGGGCGCAAGCCUGAUCCAGCCAUCCCGCGUGGGUGAAGAAGGCCUUCGGGUUGUAAAGCCCUUUUGUUGGGAAAGAAAAGCAGCAGGUUAAUACCCCGCUGUUCUGACGGUACCCAAAGAAUAAGCACGGGCUAACUUCGUG
rnacentral:rRNA from 1 species